GACGAACGCUGGCGGCGUGCUUAACACAUGCAAGUCGAACGGUGAUGCUCCAGCUUGCUGGAGUGGAUCAGUGGCGAACGGGUGAGUAACACGUGAGCAACCUGCCCCAGACUCUGGAAUAAGCGCUGGAAACGGCGUCUAAUACUGGAUACGAAACUGGCCCGCAUGGGCAUGGUUUGGAAAGUUUUUCGGUUUGGGAUGGGCUCGCGGCCUAUCAGCUUGUUGGUGAGGUAAUGGCUCACCAAGGCGACGACGGGUAGCCGGCCUGAGAGGGCGACCGGCCACACUGGGACUGAGACACGGCCCAGACUCCUACGGGAGGCAGCAGUAGGGAAUAUUGCACAAUGGGCGAAAGCCUGAUGCAGCGACGCCGCGUGAGGGAUGACGGCCUUCGGGUUGUAAACCUCUUUCAGCAGGGAAGAAGCGAAAGUGACGGUACCUGCAGAAGAAGCACCGGCUAACUACGUG
rnacentral:rRNA from 1 species